rnacentral:tRNA from 1 species
GGUGGCUCAGUGGUAGGGCACUUGCCUUGCAUGCAUGAGGUCCUGGGUUCGAUUCCUCAGCACCA